UACGAAGGGGGCUAGCGUUGCUCGGAAUUACUGGGCGUAAAGCGCACGUAGGCGGCUUCUUAAGUCGGUGGUGAAAUCCUGGAGCUCAACUCCAGAACUGCCUUCGAUACUGGGAAGCUCGAGUCCGGGAGAGGUGAGUGGAACUGCGAGUGUAGAGGUGAAAUUCGUAGAUAUUCGCAAGAACACCAGUGGCGAAGGCGGCUCACUGGCCCGGUACCGACGCUGAGGUGCGAAAGCGUGGGGAGCAAACAGG
rnacentral:rRNA from 1 species